AUUGAACGCUGGCGGCAUGCUUUACACAUGCAAGUCGAACGGCAGCGCGGGCUUCGGCCUGGCGGCGAGUGGCGAACGGGUGAGUAAUGCAUCGGAACGUGCCCAGUAGUGGGGGAUAGCCCGGCGAAAGCCGGAUUAAUACCGCAUACGACCUGAGGGUGAAAGCGGGGGACCGAAAGGCCUCGCGCUAUUGGAGCGGCCGAUGUCGGAUUAGCUAGUUGGUGGGGUAAAGGCGUACCAAGGCGACGAUCCGUAGCUGGUCUGAGAGGACGACCAGCCACACUGGAACUGAGACACGGCCCAGACUCCUACGGGAGGCAGCAGUGGGGAAUUUUGGACAAUGGGGGCAACCCUGAUCCAGCCAUGCCGCGUGCGGGAAGAAGGCCUUCGGGUUGUAAACCGCUUUUGUUCGGGAAGAAAUCCUCUGGGCUAAUACCCCGGGGGGAUGACGGUACCGGAAGAAUAAGCACCGGCUAACUACGUG
rnacentral:rRNA from 1 species